rnacentral:sRNA from 1 species
UGAUGCUAGGGUCAAAAGCCUGAAACCAUGAUGUGCUUGCACAGGAGUGGUUUCAGGCUUUUGACCCAUCCCGAUAUGAUCAUAAAAGUGUAGUGUUAGCUUCCCGAUAUGCGAAUAGCGGGAAGAAUUGUAGGAGUGCAAAGCACGGAACAAUCCGUGUAAUCA